AACGAACGCUGGCGGCAGGCUUAACACAUGCAAGUCGAACGCCCCGCAAGGGGAGUGGCAGACGGGUGAGUAACGCGUGGGAACGUGCCCUUCGCUUCGGAAUAGCCCCGGGAAACUGGGAGUAAUACCGAAUACGCCGUAUUGGGAAAGAUUUAUCGGCGAAGGAUCGGCCCGCGUUGGAUUAGCUAGUUGGCGGUGUAAUGGACCACCAAGGCGACGAUCCAUAGCUGGUCUGAGAGGAUGAUCAGCCACACUGGGACUGAGACACGGCCCAGACUCCUACGGGAGGCAGCAGUGGGGAAUCUUGGACAAUGGGCGCAAGCCUGAUCCAGCCAUGCCGCGUGAGUGAAGAAGGCCUUUGGGUUGUAAAACUCUUUCGCCGGAGAAGAUAAUGACGGUAUCCGGAGAAGAAGCCCCGGCUAACUUCGUGCCAGCCGCCGCGGUAACAC
rnacentral:rRNA from 1 species